CCUACGGGUGGCAGCAGUGAGGAAUAUUGGUCAAUGGCCGUAAGGCUGAACCAGCCAAGUAGCGUGAGGGAAGACUGCCCUAUGGGUUGUACACUUCUUUUAUAAAGGAAUAAAACGAGGCACGUGUGCCUUUUUGCAUGUACUUUAUGAAUAAGGAUCGGCUAACUCCGUGCCAGAAGCCGCGGUAAUACGGAGGAUACGAGCGUUAUCCGGAUUUAUUGGGUUUAAAGGGUGCGUAGAUGGGUUGUUAAGUCAGUUGUGAAAGUUUGCGGCUCAACCGUAAAAUUUCAAUUGAUCCUGGCAGUCUUGAGUACAGUUGAGGUAGGCGGAAUUCGUGGUGUAGCGGUGAAAUGCUUAGAUAUCACGAAGAACCCCGAUUGCGAAGGCAGCUUACUAAGCUGUGACUGACAUUGAUGCUCGAAAGUGUGGGUAUCAAACAGGAUUAGAUACCCGAGUAGUC
rnacentral:rRNA from 1 species